UGGGGAAUAUUGGACAAUGGGCGAAAGCCUGAUCCAGCCAUGCCGCGUGUGUGAAGAAGGUCUUCGGAUUGUAAAGCACUUUAAGUUGGGUGGAAGGGCAGUAAGCGAAUACCUUGCUGUUUUGACGUUACCGACAGAAUAAGCACCGGCUAACUCUGUGCCAGCAGCCGCGGUAAUACAGAGGGUGCAAGCGUUAAUCGGAAUUACUGGGCGUAAAGCGCGCGUAGGUGGUUCGUUAAGUUGAAUGUGAAAGCCCCGGGCUCAACCUGGGAACUGCAUCCAAAACUGGCGAGCUAGAGUAGGGCAGAGGGUGGUGGAAUUUCCUGUGUAGCGAUGAAAUGCGUAGAUAUAGGAAGGAACACCAGUGGCGAAGGCGACCAGCUGGGCUCAUACUGACACUGAGGUGCGAAAGCGUGGGGAGCAAACAGG
rnacentral:rRNA from 1 species